GGAAUUGUUCACAAUGGGCGCAAGCCUGAUGACGCAACGCCGCGUGGAGGAUGAAGGUCUUCGGAUUGUAAACUCCUGUUGCUCGGGACGAAAAGCUCCGACCUAACCCGUCGGAGUCUGACGGGACCGGGUGAGGAAGCCCCCGCCAACCCUGUCCCCGCAGCCGCGGUAAUACAGAGGGGGCAAGCGUUGUUCGGAAUUACUGGGCGUAAAGGGCGCGUAGGCGGCCUGCUAAGUCGAACGUGAAAUCCCUGGGCUCAACCCAGGAACUGCGUCCGAUACUGGUUGGCUUGAAUUCGGGAGAGGGAUGCGGAAUUCCAGGUGUAGCGGUGAAAUGCGUAGAUAUCUGGAGGAACACCGGUGGCGAAGGCGGCAUCCUGGACCGAUAUUGACGCUGAUGCGCGAAAGCCAGGGGAGCAAA
rnacentral:rRNA from 1 species